rnacentral:rRNA from 1 species
CCCGCUGAACUUAAGCAUAUCAAUAAGCGGAGGAAAAGAAACUAACAAGGAUUCCCUCAGUAACGGCGAGUGAAGCGGGAAGAGCUCAAAUUUAAAAUCUGGCGUAAAAGCCCGAAUUGUAGUCUAAAGAGGCGUUAUCGGACACGAGUUUGUUGUACAAGUUCCCUGGAAUGGGACAUCACAGAGGGUGAGAAUCCCGUCUGGACGAUGAACGAGUGGACAUAUGAGACGUUCUCAAAGAGUCGAGUUGUUUGGGAUUGCAGCUCAAAAUGGGAGGUAAAUUUCUUCUAAGGCUAAAUAAAGGCAAGAGACCGAUAGCGAACAAGUACCGUGAGGGAAAGAUGAAAAGCACUUUGGAAAGAGAGUUAAACAGUACGUGAAAUUGUUAAAAGGGAAACGAUUGAAGUCAGUCGCGUCUACUUGGACUCAGUCUUGCUUCGGCUUGAUGCAUUUCCUUGUGGACGGGCCAGUGUUCAUGUCGAUCGCUGGAGAAGGUACAGGGGAAUGUGGCUCCUUAGGGAGUGUUAUAGCCCAUGUUCAUAUACAGUGAUUGGUAUGGAGUGGUACAGCAUGCUUCGGCGGUGUUUGUACUGGCAUAAUGGCUUUAAACGACCCGUCUUGAAACACGG